UAAGGAAUAUUGGUCAAUGGACGCAAGUCUGAACCAGCCAUGCCGCGUGAAGGAUGAAGGUCCUCUGGAUUGUAAACUUCUUUUAUCUGGGACGAAAACGGGAUUUUUAUCUCAAUUGACGGUACCAGAGGAAUAAGCACCGGCUAACUCCGUGCCAGCAGCCGCGGUAAUACGGAGGGUGCGAGCGUUAUCCGGAUUUACUGGGUUUAAAGGGUGCGUAGGUGGGCUUAUAAGUCAGUGGUGAAAUCUCCGAGCUUAACUUGGAAACUGCCGUUGAUACUAUAGGUCUUGAAUAUUGUGGAGGUAAGCGGAAUAUGUCAUGUAGCGGUGAAAUGCUUAGAUAUGACAUAGAACACCAAUUGCGAAGGCAGCUUACUACACAAUCAUUGACGCUGAGGCACGAAAGCGUGGGGAUCAAACA
rnacentral:rRNA from 1 species